rnacentral:rRNA from 1 species
UGGGGAAUAUUGCACAAUGGGCGCAAGCCUGAUGCAGCCAUGCCGCGUGUAUGAAGAAGGCCUUCGGGUUGUAAAGUACUUUCAGCGGGGAGGAAGGCGAUAAGGUUAAUAACCUUGUCGAUUGACGUUACCCGCAGAAGAAGCACCGGCUAACUCCGUGCCAGCAGCCGCGGUAAUACGGAGGGUGCAAGCGUUAAUCGGAAUUACUGGGCGUAAAGCGCACGCAGGCGGUAUGUCAAGUCGGAUGGGAAAUCCCCGGGCUCAACCUGGGAACUGCAUUCGAAACUGGCAGGCUAGAGUCUUGUAGAGGGGGGUAGAAUUCCAGGUGUAGCGGUGAAAUGCGUAGAGAUCUGGAGGAAUACCGGUGGCGAAGGCGGCCCCCUGGACAAAGACUGACGCUCAGGUGCGAAAGCGUGGGGAGCAAACA